rnacentral:lncRNA from 1 species
CUUUGCAGAAGAGGGGGGAAAAAUCAAAGAACGGAGGGCUUGCGGGAGUGGCAGGGGAGAGAAAAAAAACACUGACGGAGAGGUGAGGAGCGCUGCAAUGGAGGACGGCUACUUCCUGUUCCUGCUGGAGUGACCCGCAGGUCUGAGGAGGAGCGAGGAGAGACAGAGCGAGAGAGAGGGGGAGAGAGAGUGACAGCAGCAGCAGCCAUGGCCAGCCGGUCACUGGGACAGACAGCGCUGCACAGCCAGCUGAUGGAGAGUUAACCGGUUGGAAGGGAUCCAGUGGGGCUCAGACAGGCUUGACAAGCAUAUUGGCUACAUGAUCCCAAACAGGACUAAUUAACACGGGUGUUACGAGAUCAUGACGAGUCAUCACUGGAGUCAUUGUGAACCUGCUGCUGCUAAAGACCUUUAGUCUACAGGUUAUAUAUCUGUCCUACAGAAACAAAAGAGGGGGCGAGCUGUUCAGGUCCUUUAACUGAACACAAUUUCAUUAUUUAAAUGACCAAUAAUAACUAACACCAGGGGGUUAGACACAUAGCAAGCUCACCUGUAAAUAGUAUGUAGACAUGUCAUUUAAAUAGCUAGUUACAUUUUGAUACAUAUUUAUGAGAUUUGUGAGAUAAAAUUGUUUAAAUAAUCUGGGAACUUUCUAAUCUGCUUUGUAUCUCAGCAUUUGUUUCCAUAUUUAAUGUCAGCUGAUAUUUUACUUCUUUUUCCUUUAUGCUGCUAUUCUAGGAUAGACAGUAGUGUAUCCUGCAACUAUUAGGGCCCUAUGAUUGCCAUGCCGAGGAAAAUACG